rnacentral:rRNA from 1 species
UACGAAGGCCCCGAGCGUUGUCCGGAUUUAUUGGGCGUAAAGCGUUCAACGGUGGUUCUGCACGUCCCCGGUUAAAUCUCAUGGCUCAACCAUGAGGCCGCCGGUGAUACGACAGGACUCGAGGACGGGAGAGGCACACGGAAUGAUCGGUGUAGCGGUAAAAUGCGUUAAUAUCGAUCAGAACACCAAUAGCGAAGGCAGUGUGCUGGAACGAUCCUGACACUCAACGAACGAGAGCGUGGGGAGCGAAUGGG